rnacentral:misc_RNA from 1 species
GUUCUCCCUCGCCGGCGUUCGGAUCCCAGCCGUCCGCCCCGCCGGAGUCCCCUCCCGGUUCGGAUCGGAGCAGCGGAGUGUCGUUAAUCUCUCGGUUCUGUUGAAGAAGGAUCACAUCCGAAGGAAGAUUCUUGCUGGAAAUUCUUCUUACGAUACCGAUUCACCAUCUACAACUGUUGCUACCUCUGGAAAAAUGCUGAUUCCAGAUGUCGACCUUGACGUCUCUUCAUCAUCCACAACUUCAGCUGAGAAGUCUCCAGUGGCUGCUGAAGACUCUCAGGCAUUUGAAAAAG